rnacentral:rRNA from 1 species
CAGCCGCCGCGGGAAUACAGAGGGUGCGAGCGUUAAUCGGAUUUACUGGGCGUAAAGCGUGCGUAGGCGGCUUUUUAAGUCGGAUGUGAAAUCCCUAAGCUUAACUUAGGAAUUGCAUUCGAUACUGGGAAGCUAGAGUAUGGGAGAGGAUGGUAGAAUUCCAGGUGUAGCGGUGAAAUGCGUAGAGAUCUGGAGGAAUACCGAUGGCGAAGGCAGCCAUCUGGCCUAAUACUGACGCUGAGGUACGAAAGCAUGGGGAGCAAACAGGAUUAGAUACCCGCGUAGUCCCUGUCUCUUAUAC